rfam:Microbacterium sp. SCN 70-27 ABS63_C0042, whole genome shotgun sequence.
ACUCUUCUGAGACUGGGCUCGUCGACUUAGGUGUCUGUGACAAAGGUCGGAGCCGAGCAGAACGUCUCUACAGACUGCGCCCGGAGAAGACGCAGUAUCUCAGCGUUGGACGGGGGUUCGAUUCCCCCCAGCUCCACGA